rnacentral:lncRNA from 1 species
GUGACUGCAGUUUUUGACACUCUGUUUGGCACAGUAGCACUAUGUACUCAUGGCUGUUAGUAACAGAUGGAAACAGAUUUCUCUGGAGUUAUUAAGAUCUUUGCAUCAAAGAAGCAAUCAUUCUGCUGUGAUUCCCGUGGAGGAACAUGAACACCAUAAAGUGGGUUCAGGUGAGGACAGAGAACCAAGAGGCAACAGAAAGGACCAUAGUGAAAGCCUUUUCUUGGUGAAACCAGUUUCACUGAUUCUUUCAGUGAAAGAGCUUAGAAGUUAAUAGCAUGACUACACCCUGCACUCAUUUUAAUUUUAGCAUACAUAUUUAUGUCUAAGUUAGCAAUAGAGGAAAAAUUAUAUAGCUCUCAUUCUGCAUUGUGUCUCUUUUCAGUUUGUUGUCUUCAUAUAUAAAGUGAAGUUAAAGAACUCUCUCCAAAUACAUUCAGACAUUUGGGUCAGGAGGACCUCUAUUCUUUUACAGGCAAAAUUUGAUUACCCCAGGGACCAGGUCAAAAGAGGCUCUCUUUAAAAUUCAAAUAUGUGAAAUUGGAAUCAUUUGUGAAAUAUGAUAUAUGGCUGUGAAAUUCUAUAUUUUCAUCCACUCUACUAUAUGGCUGCCUAGGAUCUACCUAUAUUAUAUUCUAGAGAUAUUAGCAUCUCAACAAACAUUAAUGAUCUCAUCACUUAAUGGCUUCAGUAUUUCAGUUCAUUGUGUUGAUGUUUCCAUCUUGAACUUAUUCAGAGUCCCUCAUUGAAAAAAGAUAAUUAAUGAUUAAUAUGUGACCAAAGCUACUCUUUAUACCUAGCUAGACUUUUCUAGACACCACACUGUGGCUCAUCAGCUCCAGAAAACAUUUGGAUUAUUAACACUUAAGACCCUCUGAGUCACUCAACUGUCCCAGAUAAAUGAAUUGUCCUCCAUCUCUCUGCCUGAGAGUGUUUUCUGACCAUAGAAUUUGUUAUGUCCUAGUAGUAGAGGCUGGAGUGUGACCUCAGGAAUGACCCUCAACUAAUAAGGGGUGGUAGCUGGUGGGCAAACACCUAGCUUUCUUCCUGUUGCUGGGACAGUUCUAAGGAAUAUUCUGCACAGCUUGUUAAAAGAUCUCAGUGGGACUGAGCCCAGAUUUCCACCGAAGUAAUCUGCUCAUUCACACACUCUGUGUUGUCUUCUUCCCCCUUCAUUUUACUUCCCUAUUUCUUCCUCUCCUUCCUGGGGUCACUUCCCAAAUAAACCACUUGCCCCCCCACCCCAGUUCUUGUCUAAGUCUGCUAACCCAAAAUGAGACAUCCUCCUGUUUUGUUUUGUUUUGUUUUUUUCUUCCUAGCUUACAGAAAAACACUUUCCAAAUUAAAAGAUUUUUAAAGAGAUUGUGUUUAAAGGAAUCUACUUAUGUUUUGUCACCAGUGAGAUUACUGAUUUGGGGAAUGUAAUGGAAUUGCGAAAAAGAUGUGGGAAGGAUGGUAGUGAUAGGACUCAAUGGCCAGAAGAUGCACAUUUCUAGUAAAAUUCCUGGGUGGGCAUCUUUAUGGCAUAUGCUGCAUGCUGCCACGUACUUAAGACUGUAUUUUUUCUCUCUCUCUCUCUCUGUGUGAGUGUGAUGAAGAUUCACCUUGUUCUUGUACAGAUCUGUUUCUAGUCCAAAAAAUUUGAUGCUAGGAAAGUUCUAUCAGGAAGCUGGUAAGAAAACACUUGGAUUAUUAACACUUAAGACCCUUUGAGUCACUCAUCUGUCCAGGAUAAAUGAGGUAUCCUCCUCUAAUGUUUAUAUUGUCUACAGUAAGCAUUGUGAUCCUGCUUUAAAGCUCACAUUGAAAUUAAGGCCAGGAUAUUGGAAGUAAAAAUCCAUGAAACCUCCAUCUUCUACAGUGUACAUUUAUUCUUAGGUGUGUGUGUGUGUGUGUGUGUGUGUGUGUGUGUGUUAUCAAAAGAGACCCUUAACCUAAAAAUCAGAUUAACCAGUGACUCAUGGAUCUUUAGGAAUAGUUUUAAAAUUUUUAUUGUAAAUCUGCUAUAGAAAUGUUUGUUCUGGAAAUUCCCUUCUGGGGCAGGGGAUAAGAAUCUGGGUUUUGCUGCAGCUGUGGUGCAGGUGGCAACUGCGGCACAGAUUUGAUCCCUGGCCUAGGAAAUUCCACAUGAUGUGGGUGCAGCCAAAAAGAAAAGAGAGAGAGAGAGAGAUGUUUGCUCCAACAAUCCUCUUCUUCAAGAGAAAAAAAAAAAAAAAAAAAAAAAAAAAAA